rnacentral:rRNA from 1 species
CAUGCAGUCGAGCGAUGAAGCACCUUCGGGUGUGAAUUAGCAGCGAACGGGUGAGGAACACGUGAGAAAUCUGCCUUCAACACUGGGAUAACUCCGGGAAACCGGGGCUAAUACCGGAUAUGAAACCUGCGGGCAUCCGCGGGUUUGGAAAGUUUUUCGGUUGAAGAUGAUCUCGCGGCCUAUCAGCUUGUUGGUGAGGUGAUGGCUCACCAAGGCGACGACGGGUAGCCGGCCUGAGAGGGCGACCGGCCACACUGGGACUGAGACACGGCCCAGACUCCUACGGGAGGCAGCAGUGGGGAAUAUUGGGCAAUGGAGGAAACUCUGACCCAGCGACGCCGCGUGCGGGAUGAAGGCCUUCGGGUUGUAAACCGCUUUCAGCAGGGAAGAAGCGAAAGUGACGGUACCUGCAGAAGAAGCACCGGCUAACUAUGUGCCAGCAGCCGCGGUAAUACAUAGGGUGCAAGCGUUGUCCGGAAUUAUUGGGCGUAAAGAGCUCGUAGGUGGUUCGUCACGUCGGAUGUGAAACUCUGGGGCUUAACCCCAGACCUGCAUUCGAUACGGGCGAGCUUGAGUAUGGUAGGGGAGUCUGGAAUUCCUGGUGUAGCGGUGGAAUGCGCAGAUAUCAGGAGGAACACCAAUGGCGAAGGCAGGACUCUGGGCCAUUACUGACACUGAGGAGCGAAAGCGUGGGGAGCGAACAGGAUUAGAUACCCUGGUAGUCCACGCCGUAAACGGUGGGCACUAGUUGUGGGGACCUUCCACGGCCUCUGCGACGCAGCUAACGCAUUAAGUGCCCCGCCUGGGGAGUACGAUCGCAAGAUUAAAACUCAAAGGAAUUGACGG